rnacentral:lncRNA from 1 species
GUGUGAGUGCAUAAUCUACAGAUUAGGCAUUCUGCAGAUUAUGCAGACUCACUAUGCGAAUGGUCUCGCAUAGCGAGUCCAUGCAAGGGAAUGCUCUCUACCUUGGGUCAUUCGUUGUAUGAGCCGGUGUGCUUUGCAAAUGACCAGAGAGUACUACUCUCUGCCUGGUGGAUUCACAUAGCGAAUCCUGUCGCUAUGCCAUUGGGGCUGGCCUGGAGUCUCU